rnacentral:rRNA from 1 species
UACGUAGGGACCGAGCGUUGUCCGGAUUCAUUGGGCGUAAAGAGCGUGUAGGCGGCCAGGUAGGUCUGCUGUGAAAACUCGAGGCUUAACCUCGAGCUGUCGGCGGAAACCAUCUGGCUAGAGUCCGGAAGAGGAGAAUGGAAUUCCCGGUGUAGCGGUGAAAUGCGCAGAUAUCGGGAAGAACACCCGUGGCGAAGGCGGUUCUCUGGGACGGUACUGACGCUGAGACGCGAAAGCGUGGGGAGCGAACAGG